rnacentral:rRNA from 1 species
GAGGUGGCAAGCGUUGUUCGGAAUUACUGGGCGUAAAGGGCGCGUAGGCGGCCUUCUAAGUCAGACGUGAAAUCCCCAGGCUUAACUUGGGAACUGCGUCUGAUACUGGAGGGCUCGAGUGCGGGAGAGGGAUGUGGAAUUCCAGGUGUAGCGGUGAAAUGCGUAGAUAUCUGGAGGAACACCGGUGGCGAAGGCGGCAUCCUGGACCGACACUGACGCUGAGGCGCGAAAGCUAGGGGAGCAAACGGGAUUAGAUACCCCGGUAGUCCUAGCCCUAAACGAUGAGUGCUUGGUGUGGCGGGUAUCGAUCCCUGCCGUGCCGAAGCUAACGCAUUAAGCACUCCGCCUGGGGAGUACGGUCGCAAGGCUG